CCAGUAGCAGCCUCCCUCCAUGGCCUCUGCAUCUGCUCUGCCUCCAGGAUCUUGCCCUGUUUGAAUAUCUGUCCUGAUUUCUUUCAGUGAUGGACUACAAUGUAGAAGUAUCUGCUGAGGGCUGAACACAGACACCCAGGCACCGCAUGCUGGCAGGAUGAGGAGAAGCAGUUAUUGCAAGCAUUAUGGCUUGGAUGGAGAAGUAGUCUGGCACUUGGGAGCCAAGGAAUACCACAGACCACAGUAAGUGAAGCAGCUUACAGCCCUCCUCCAGGGAAAGGCUUACUUACAGCUUACAGCUCUGCUCUACUCCAACAGGGGAGGGGUUCCCGGUGAGGUUGUUACAGUUCAGCUCUGGUCCUCAGAGUGUAACAACUCUGUUUCUCUAGGAGGUUUCCUCAGAGAAAGUGUUUCAGACCUGCUCUGCUCUACUCUGCUCUGCCCAGGCUCUUGUCUCUGCUCCCGUAAAAGAAGG
rnacentral:lncRNA from 1 species